UAUUUCUACCUCUGUACCGGUACACAUCAAUAUUGUACCGGUCAUAGUUACUAAAUUCGCGAAUAAUACGCGAAUUAUUCACGAAUUUUUUAAUAGCCAAAUUAAACGGCGGCAAAUGUAUUUUUCUCAAAAGUGCAAAAAAAAACGCAUUUUUUUUCUCCAAAAAUAAUUAUCCGCGAAUUAUUCGCGAUUCACGAAUAAUUCGCCCAAAAAACCGGUCCGCUCGUUGUCAUCGUCGUCCGCCGCCGCCGCCCAGGCUAGCGCCGG
rnacentral:lncRNA from 1 species